rnacentral:rRNA from 1 species
CACAUCGAAUAACCCACAUGGGGUCUAAUAUGCUGCGAUAGAAAAGGAUAAAGAGCAUAGGGAUUCUCUCCAUCAAGACCACUUGCGCCCUAUCAACAGCUAUUUCAUCCACAAACAGCCAGACGGACCGCUAACGCCCAUCCGCACGAAACGAAAGGGUAUUCAAUCUGACAACCGGCGGGGACUGGAUUCCGGUGGAUUCGUUAAGAA